rnacentral:rRNA from 1 species
UACAGAGGGGGCAAGCGUUGUUCGGAAUUACUGGGCGUAAAGGGCGCGUAGGCGGCCUUCUAAGUCGAACGUGAAAUCCCCGGGCUCAACCCGGGAACUGCGUCCGAUACUGGAAGGCUUGAAUCCGGGAGAGGGAUGCGGAAUUCCAGGUGUAGCGGUGAAAUGCGUAGAUAUCUGGAGGAACACCGGUGGCGAAGGCGGCAUCCUGGACCGGUAUUGACGCUGAGGCGCGAAAGCCAGGGGAG